AUUGAACGCUAGCGGGAUGCUUUACACAUGCAAGUCGAACGGAGAGGCGGACGGGUGAGUGAUAUAUAGGAACGUGCCCAGUAGAGGGGGAUAACUACUCGAAAAAGUGGCUAAUAGCGCAAAAUAUUGGAGCGGCCGAUAGCGGAUUAGGUAGUUGGUGGGGUAAAGGCUCACCAAGGAAACGAUCCGUAGAUGGUUUGAGAGGACGACCAGCCACACUGGGACUGAGACACGGCCCAGACUCCUCCGGGAGGCAGCAGUGGGGAAUUUUGGACAAUGGGGGAAACCCUGAUCCAGCCAUCCCGCGUGUAUGAUGAAGGCCUUCGGUUUGUAAAGUACUUUUGGCAGAGAAGCGGUAUCUGCAGAAUAAGCACCGGCUAACUACGUGCCAGCAGCCGCGGUAAUUC
rnacentral:rRNA from 1 species